rnacentral:rRNA from 1 species
GACGAACGCUGGCGGCGUGCUUAACACAUGCAAGUCGAACGGAAAGGCCCUGCUUUUGUGGGGUGCUCGAGUGGCGAACGGGUGAGUAACACGUGAGUAACCUGCCCUUGACUUUGGGAUAACUUCAGGAAACUGGGGCUAAUACCGGAUAGGAGCUCCUGCUGCAUGGUGGGGGUUGGAAAGUUUCGGCGGUUGGGGAUGGACUCGCGGCUUAUCAGCUUGUUGGUGGGGUAGUGGCUUACCAAGGCUUUGACGGGUAGCCGGCCUGAGAGGGUGGCCGGCCACAUUGGGACUGAGAUACGGCCCAGACUCGUACGGGAGGCAGCAGUGGGGAGUAUUGCACAAUGGGCGGGAGCCUGAUGCAGCAACGCCGCGUGCGGGAUGACGGCCUUCGGGUUAUAAACCGCUUUCGCCUGUGACGAAGCGUGAGUGACGGUAAUGAGUAAAGAAGCACCGGCUAACUACGUG